rnacentral:lncRNA from 1 species
AAGGAUGAGGCACAGAGACAUAGAACCUCUUACUGCGAUGCUGGGUGGUAACCAAAUCAGAAAACCAGGACCCCUGACCCUGAGUGCAUCUCUGAGCAGAGAGUCACACAGCUGAGAAGGAAGGGAAGAAAUCAAGUUCUCGGUGACAUCUGAGUCAUGCUCGGGACUUUGCCAUUCUUCCCAUUCCCAAAGUACAAGUUUCUCCAUGUGUGUCUAUCUCUGUGUUUGUAUCUCCCUCUGUCUCUCUGUCUCUCUUUCCCUUCCUCCUUCCUUCUCUCCCUCACUCUUUCUCCUUCCUUUCUCCCCUCCUUCUCCCUUCUCCCCCUCUGGUUCCCAAAUUCAAUUCUUCUUUUAGUGCUUUUUAAAAGCUGCUAAGCUCCUUGGAGUUCGAGCUGCUUUCCCUUCGCUUCAGUCAGCAUAUGGAUCUAAAGAGCUUUCGGGUUCGACCGCCACCUCACCCUGACCCAAGCUUACUUCCUGAAAAUAACCUUUGUCCGUGUGGAUUUCCACAUUGUCUUCUGAAGAAGGCAUGGUCUGUCAACAAUAAGACUGUCAACUCCUUUGCUGCCAGAAUAAAUGUGUCCUGGACUGGAUCCAGGAUUUCUGGGGCAUCCCAGGACACGCCAGUAGCUGAUACUGAGAGGAGAUGGUUCCUCAAAGCCAAAGGCCACCAGAGAGAGAGUCACAACUGAGCAAGCCAUUGCUUUAUCAUCACAACUGUUAAUGGCCAACCUCAGAGGGUACUCAAGAACUUCUCAAUCCACCCUUGGCCAGCUCCCAUUAUUCUUCAAAGACUACUCUAAGCCUCCACUGCAAGCCCAUAGUUCAAGUCCCCAUCCUGUGCUUUUACAGAUAUCCUUCCUGCUGACUAAAGCAAGAACAUUGAAGCCAUCAGGAAAGAGCUUUCUUUUUUUUUUUUUUUUCCUUCUGCAAAUGUUUGUACCUCUUGUGCCUGGUUGACUCUGCCACUCAUCCCUUCCUGUCUCCU